AAUAGGUGUUUUCAAAAUAGUACAGUCCCAAGGGCUUGAAGAAGAUGUAAAAUUAAGUAGAUACAUGGACACAGCACUGGAAGUACUUUAAAAUAGUGAAAAACAUAAUCCAUCUAGUGUUUUGUUGUUGUUGUUGUUGUUGUUUUAGUUCUUUUCUUGAAACUUUUUCUGUUUUUUUUGUCAGUCUUAGAAACUGAACUGCAUAUAGCAUUAUAUAGAUUUUCUGUUCACUCCCUAUUCAAACUACAGCAAUGGGUGAUGAUUUUCUGUCCACAGCAGUCUAUUUGGUGCAGACAUCAUCCCUUAGGACUCAACACUGUUGUCACUUGGAGUGGCCAUUUUUUAUCCAGCACACUUCAAGAACUUGCACAGCUCCUAUGGAAACGAUACUCAGACCACCCUCAUUCUGGCCACUUUGGCAGCUUUCUUUCCCAUGUGAGGCAUGAAGAAAGAUGAUAUCUACUCUUAUUCUCUUGAGGAUUCUUCUAGAAGACUUCAUGAGUUCCUAUUAGUGACUGAUGAAGCGACAAAGUCUGAAGCUUUAAUGAAAUUAAAAAAAAAAAAAAAAAUCAUUUUAUAUCUUGAGGGAGGAAGGAAGAUAUUCCUGAAUAGAAUUGGCCUAACUGGAAAACAAAAAU
rnacentral:lncRNA from 1 species